GUGAAUCAUCGAAUUUUUGAACGCAAAUUGCACUCUCCUCGGAGAGUAUGCCUGUUUGAGGGUCAGCCUAUAAAAAUUGACAUCGUUGCUGUUUCGCGGUGGCGUUCGGCGGGAAUUGGGUCAUUUUUAAACCUUUUGAUUUAAGCGCCUUAUAAUUUUCUUUUGGUUCCUUGAUCGUUUCUAAGAUCU
rnacentral:misc_RNA from 1 species